GAACAACCUGACUUACUGCAUAAGCUGGUGACACAGCUUUCUCCUUCUGUACUAAAAUCUGAAGGCGUACCAGUCUAUCGGUGUGUACAAAAUUCUGGAGAGUUUGUUUUAACAUUUCCUCGAGCAUAUCAUUCANAAUUGUGGCUUCAAUUGUGCGGAGGCAGUAAAUGUAGCCCCUGUUGACUGGUUGCCCCAUGGACAGAUUGCUAUAGAGCUUUAUCGUGAGCAGGCGCGAAAGACUUCCAUCUCCCAUGAUAAACUGUUGCUUGGAGCAGCAAGGGAAGCAGUGAAAGCUCAUUGGGAACUUAAUUUACUGAAAAAGAAUACAACAGAUAACUUAAGAUGGAAAGAUGUAUGUGGAAAGGAUGGAAUAUUAGCAAAAGCACUCAA
rnacentral:misc_RNA from 1 species